GUAGGCGCUUGCGCAAAACGGCUGGAGUAUAAUACCACCGUCUCGCCGACGCCGACUACGACUACGACAACGAACCGUCGUAUAUUUUCCUUCCCUUAUAACAUCUUCACGCAGUUGGGACUAAUAGGAGUUAAAACUCAAAUCGAAGAAGAAGAAGAAAAGAAAUGCCAGGGUUAACUUGCAACGCUUGUAAUAAAGAAUUCCAUGGCGAUGUCGAACAAAAGCUCCAUUACAAGUCAGAUUGGCAUCGCUACAAUCUCAAACGCAAGGUAGCUGGUGUUCCAGGAGUGACUGAAGCAUUGUUUCUAGCUAGACAGUCUGCACUUGCUCAAGAGAAGGAUAAAUCAAAAGAGACCCCCAUGCUAUAUAGUUGUGUUCUCUGUGGUAAGGGAUAUCGAAGUGCCAAAGCUCAUGCUCAGCAUCUUAAAUCACGGAGCCACAUCAUGCGUGCUUCUCAAGGAACAAACCAAGAUGAGGAUAAGGCAGUGAUUAAACCACUUCCCCAUCGUGUCAUGAGUAACCAUCCCUCACAAAGGGAAGUAGACGAUGAAGUAAGUGAAGAUGAUGAUGAAUGGGAAGAGGUUGAUCCGGAGGAAGAGUUGGUUGCUGAGGCGACAAAGUCAUUAACUGAUUUGAAUGUAAAUGAGGCCUCUGAUGAAGAUAUGGAUGAGGAUGAAAAUGAUCACUUGUUAGAUCCAUCUUGUUGUUUUAUGUGUGAUCAAGAGCAUGAUGACUUAGAAAGUUGCAUGGUUCACAUGCACAAGCGGCAUGGCUUUUUUAUUCCUGAUGUUGAGUAUUUGAAGGAUCCUAAGGGCCUUCUUACUUAUCUGGGUCUCAUGGUGAAGAGGGAUUUCAUGUGUUUGUACUGCAAUGAUAGAUGCCAUCCUUUUAACAGCUUAGAAGCAGUUAGGAAACAUAUGGUAGCUAAAAGUCAUUGUAAAGUACAUUAUGGUGAUGGUGAUGAUGAUGAAGAAGUGGAGUUAGAAGAAUUCUAUGAUUAUAGCAGCAGUUAUGUGGACGAGGAUGGGAAACAGCUGACUACCUCGGGUGAUAUGGCCAACACUGUGGAACUUGGGAGUGGUGGUUCAGAGCUCAUCAUAACCACAAGUUCUGAUAAUAAAAUAUCAUCAAAAACCCUUGGCUCUCGGGAAUUUUUGCGCUAUUAUCGCCAGAAACCACAUCCUUCACCUGCCAAUAGCGGGGCCAUUACAGCUGCACUGGCCUCUAGGUACAGAAGCAUGGGAUUGGCCACUUUGCAGUCAAAAGAGCAGAUAGUGAGGAUGAAAGUGAUGAAGGAAAUGAAUCGAUCAGGUGUGGAGACCAUGCGUACCAAAAUUGGGUUGAAGAAUAAUGUUAUUAGAAACCUUCCCAAGAAUGUUCCAUAUUAGUCUGGGAACUAAUAACUUGUGAUUAAUUUAAUAUUAUAGACCACAUUCUGCUAGAUGUUGAGAGCGUGUGAUUUUCCAUGAAACAUGUUGUAUGGUUUUAUAUGUCACUGUGUGCAAUUUACUAAAUUAACUAGUAGUUUUACCUGUGCAAUGAGCUGAUUUCCA
rnacentral:misc_RNA from 1 species